rnacentral:rRNA from 1 species
GCGUUAUCCGGAUUUAUUGGGCGUAAAGCGAGCGCAGACGGUUUAUUAAGUCUGAUGUGAAAUCCCGAGGCCCAACCUCGGAACUGCAUUGGAAACUGAUUUACUUGAGUGCGAUAGAGGCAAGUGGAACUCCAUGUGUAGCGGUGAAAUGCGUAGAUAUGUGGAAGAACACCAGUGGCGAAAGCGGCUUGCUAGAUCGUAACUGACGUUGAGGCUCGAAAGUAUGGGUAGCAAACGGGAUUAGAUACCCCGGUAGUCCAUACCGUAAACGAUGGGUGCUAGUUGUUAAGAGGUUUCCGCCUCCUAGUGACGUAGCAAACGCAUUAAGCACCCCGCCUGAGGAGUACGGCCGCAAGGCUAAAACUUAAAGGAAUUGACGGGGACCCGCACAAGCGGUGGAGCAUGUGGUUUAAUUCGAAGAUACGCGAAAAACCUUACCAGGUCUUGACAUACCAAUGAUCGCUUUUGUAAUGAAAGCUUUUCUUCGGAACAUUGGAUACAGGUGGUGCAUGGUCGUCGUCAGCUCGUGUCGUGAGAUGUUGGGUUAAGUCCCGCAACGAGCGCAACCCUUGUUAUUAGUUGCCAGCAUUUAGUUGGGCACUCUAAUGAGACUGCCGGUGAUAAACCGGAGGAAGGUGGGGACGACGUCAGAUCAUCAUGCCCCUUAUGACC